AUGUACAUUCUUAUAUUGUAAUGUUAAUGCAUUGGAUCCCAUUAGAACUCUGUAGUUAAGCAUAAUUAGGCUAUAUUUAUACUGGAAUGGGUGACCUCUCUAGAAGUCCUAGUGUUUCACAUG
rnacentral:rRNA from 1 species